rnacentral:sRNA from 1 species
UUCGCGUGAGGGAUGGAAGCGGCAUCCUUUUUUGCGAGGCACGAGCGAAAAAGAUAAAGCGGACAGCCCGACAGCGG